CUGCUUUCUAUUUCCUCGGGGAGGGCCGGUGACGCGUGAACCCGAGAGGCACCAAAGGCAGGAAUCCUGAAAUCUGUGAUUUCUAAACCCCGAGCUAAAAAAAGGUCCGUAGGGCCCGUCUCCCGCAGCUGGGCGACUCUUCCCCACGCGGCGCGCGGCCCGCGAGGUGGAAGGGUGAGAACUUCUAGGGGGCCAAACGAGGACCAGGAGACAAGUGGGGAGCGGGAAGUGCCUGCCUGGUCCGAAUGCAGGGAGUCCGAGGUCGCGGUGCCACCUCCCUGUGAGGGUUUCCAGGAUAGUGUUACUGUGCUCUUAUAAGAAGGAGGAAUGUGGAAGAGAUCCUGCAGAGACAGAAAUCAGAGACAUGAUCUCAUCGCCCAGACAGGAGUGCGGAGGCAUGACUGCAGC
rnacentral:lncRNA from 10 species